GGCGACGACGGGUAGCCGACCUGAGAGGGUGACCGGCCACACUGGGACUGAGACACGGCCCAGACUCCUACGGGAGGCAGCAGUGGGGAAUAUUGCACAAUGGGCGAAAGCCUGAUGCAGCGACGCCGCGUGAGGGAUGACGGCCUUCGGGUUGUAAACCUCUUUCAGCAGGGACGAAGCGAAAGUGACGGUACCUGCAGAAGAAGCACCGGCCAACUACGUGCCAGCAGCCGCGGUAAUACGUAGGGUGCAAGCGUUGUCCGGAAUUACUGGGCGUAAAGAGCUCGUAGGCGGUUUGUCGCGUCGUCUGUGAAAACUCGAGGCUCAACCUCGAGCUUGCAGGCGAUACGGGCAGACUUGAGUACUGCAGGGGAGACUGGAAUUCCUGGUGUAGCGGUGAAAUGCGCAGAUAUCAGGAGGAACACCGGUGGCGAAGGCGGGUCUCUGGGCAGUAACUGACGCUGAGGAGCGAAAGCGUGGGUAGCGAACAGGAUUAGAUACCCUGGUAGUCCACGCCGUAAACGGUGGGCGCUAGGUGUGGGUUUCCUUCCACGGGAUCCGUGCCGUAGCUAACGCAUUAAGCGCCCCGCC
rnacentral:rRNA from 1 species